AGGGCACGUAUAGAUACAUAUGAGAACUUUACAUUAAAAUAGAUACAAGAAAGUUUUAGAAACCCACGGCGUAGAUCACCCUUAUUUUCAGCACACAGAUCUAGGAAUGCCUCCUCGUCCAUGCGGUGGCAGGGUUUUUUUUUAUUUUUUAAGCAAGUGGAGAUGGCAGUUUGGUGGAUCCACUUGCCACUUUGUAGCCGUUGCACACUUGCUUCCUAUAACCUAAUAAAUAAAUAAACACAUUAAAAUAGACUAAUCCUCUUUUCCCGGCAACAUGCAUGUUGUUAAUUUUUAUGUAUGCGCGCGCCUGAUCUGCUAGAAGUUGUUUAUUUUUACAUGCAAAACAUGCAUGCAUGUUGGGUGGUACUACUGAAUAGUUACGUUCAAUUCAAUGCACACGGGGACACAUGCAAAGCCAAGGCGGAAGCAGCUUGCUUAAGGUGUGUGCAUUAAAGAUGGCAAUUUCUACCCGAUACCCGAAACCCGAUGGGUAAAAACCCUAUUAGGGCAAGGGUAUGGCUAAUUUUUUCACCCAUGGGUAAGUAG
rnacentral:lncRNA from 1 species